GAUGUUGGGUUAAGUCCCGCAACGAGCGCAACCCUUGCCCUUAGUUGCCAGCAUUCAGUUGGGCACUCUAAGGGGACUGCCAGUGACAAACUGGAGGAAGGCGGGGAUGACGUCAAGUCAUCAUGGCCCUUAUGACCAGGGSUACACACGUACUACAAUGGUCGGUACAGAGGGUUGCCAAGCCGCGAGGSGGAGCCAAUCCCAGAAAGCCGAUCGUAGUCCGGAUCGGAGUCUGCAACUCGACUCCGUGAAGUCGGAAUCGCUAGUAAUCGCCGAUCAGCAUUUGCGGCGGUGAAUACGUUCCCGGGUCU
rnacentral:rRNA from 1 species